rnacentral:rRNA from 1 species
GAUGAACGCUGGCGGCGUGCCUAAUACAUGCAAGUCGAGCGAACGGACGAGAAGCUUGCUUCUCUGAUGUUAGCGGCGGACGGGUGAGUAACACGUGGAUAACCUACCUAUAAGACUGGGAUAACUUCGGGAAACCGUAGCUAAUACCGGAUAAUAUUUUGAACCGCAUGGUUCAAAAGUGAAAGACGGUCUUGCUGUCACUUAUAGAUGGAUCCGCGCUGCAUUAGCUAGUUGGUAAGGUAACGGCUUACCAAGGCAACGAGGCAUAGCCGACCUGAGAGGGUGAUCGGCCACACUGGAACUGGGACACGGUCCAGACUCCUACGGGAGGCAGCAGCAGGGAAUCUUCCGCAAUGGGCGAAAGCAUGACGGAGCAACGCCGCGUGAGUGAUGAAGGUCUUGGGAUCGUAAAACUCUGUUAUUAGGGAAGAACAUAUGUGUAAGUAACUGUGCACAUAUUGACGGUACCUAAUCAGAAAGCCACGGCUAACUACGUG